rnacentral:misc_RNA from 1 species
GAAAUGCGAUACGUAAUGCGAAUUGCAGAAUUCAGUGAAUCAUCAAAUCUUUGAACGCAAAUUGCGCUUUCUGGAUAGGCCAGGAAGCAUGCCUCUUUGAGCAUCGUUUUCACCUCAGCUCGACUGCGCUCUUUCGGGAUGCUGCGUGUCGGAAAAUGAGUUUUGUCUCAUUGUCCUCUCGGAUAGUGAGUCACUUUAAAUUGCUGUGAUUGUGUCAUCAACCACUCAGCGGUCGUUCGAUUGCUAUCGGUGGUGCUAUGGAUAAAUUUUAUUCAAUGGCGCCAUUUUCGAUUUGAUUGAACGCUAUGACUGCCGAGUCAAUCGUGUGACACUCAGUGGAAAUUAAACGGAAAAAUGUCAAAGUUUUUCUAAUUCUUUUGAAUAAGAUCUCAAAUGAAGC